UACGUAGGGUGCGAGCGUUAAUCGGAAUUACUGGGCGUAAAGCGUGCGCAGGCGGUUCGCCAAGUCAGGUGUGAAAUCCCCGGGCUCAACCUGGGAAUUGCGAUGGAGACUGCAAGGCUAGAAUCUGGCAGAGGGGGGGUAGAAUUCCACGUGUAGCAGUGAAAUGCGUAAAGAUGUGGAGGAACACCGAUGGCGAAGGCGGCAUCCUGGACCGGCAUUGACGCUGAGGCGCGAAAGCCAGGGGAGCAAAGCGGG
rnacentral:rRNA from 1 species